UACGUAGGUGGCAAGCGUUGUCCGGAUUCACUGGGUUUAAAGGGUGUGUAGGCGGGCUGUUAAGUCAGUGGUGAAAUCUCCGGGCUCAACCCGGAAACUGCCAUUGAUACUAUCAGUCUUGAAUCUUGUUGAGGUGGGCGGAAUAUAUCAUGUAGCGGUGAAAUGCUUAGAUAUGAUAUAGAACACCGAUUGCGAAGGCAGCUCACUAAGCAAGUAUUGACGCUGAGGCACGAAAGCGUGGGGAUCAAACAGG
rnacentral:rRNA from 1 species